rnacentral:RNase_P_RNA from 1 species
CCAGACGGUUGGAUGGUUGCGAUUUCUAUAUGAAAUCGAGGAAAGUCCGGGCUCCAUGGAAACACGGUGCCGGUUAACGGCCGGCGGGGGCAACCCUAGGGAAAGUGCCGCAGAAAGAAGACCGCCAGCUUAUUAGAGCAGGUAAGGGUGAAAGGGUGUGGUAAGAGCGCACCGCAUUUUCGGUAACGAAAAUGGCAUGGUAAACCCCACCGGGAGCAAGACCAAGUAGGGACGGCCGGUGGUUAUGGGCCACGAGCGAGUUUUCGCGCUGCCGUCCGGGUGUGUCGCUUGAGGCGUUCGGUGACGGGCGUCCUAGAUGAAUAACCAUCUAUCGUAAAUUCGUUUGCGAGGACAGAACCCGGCUUAUAGACCGUCUGGUUUU